rnacentral:rRNA from 1 species
UACGUAGGGUGCAAGCGUUAAUCGGAAUUACUGGGCGUAAAGCGUGCGCAGGCGGUUUUGUAAGUCUGUCGUGAAAGCCCCGGGCUUAACCUGGGAAUGGCAUUGGAAACUGGCGGGCUUGAGUGCGGCAGAGGGGGGUGGAAUUCCGCGUGUAGCAGUGAAAUGCGUAGAGAUGCGGAGGAACACCGAUGGCGAAGGCAGCCCCCUGGGUCGACACUGACGCUCAGGCACGAAAGCGUGGGGAGCAAACAGG